rnacentral:rRNA from 1 species
CCUACGGGUGGCUGCAGUGAGGAAUAUUGGUCAAUGGGCGAGAGCCUGAACCAGCCAAGUCGCGUGAGGGAUGACUGCCCUAUGGGUUGUAAACCUCUUUUGUAUGGGAGGAAAAAGCUCUACGUGUAGAGUUAUGACUGUACCAUAUGAAUAAGGAUCGGCUAACUCCGUGCCAGCAGCCGCGGUAAUACGGAGGAUUCGAGCGUUAUCCGGAUUUAUUGGGUUUAAAGGGUGCGUAGGGGGGUUGUUAAGUCAGUUGUGAAAGUUUGGGGCUCAACCCUGAAACUGCAGUUGAAACUGGCAGUCUUGAGUACAGGAGAGGUAGGCGGAAUUCGUGGUGUAGCGGUGAAAUGCAUAGAUAUCACGAAGAACACCGAUUGCGAAGGCAGCUUACUGGACUGCAACUGACGCUGAGGCACGAAAGCGUGGGUAGCGAACAGGAUUAGAUACCCUUGUAGUC